GACGAACGCUGGCGGCGUGCUUAACACAUGCAAGUCGAACGGAAAAGGCCUGCAGCUUGCUGCGGGUACUCGAGUGGCGAACGGGUGAGUAACACGUGGGUGAUCUGCCUUGCACUUCGGGAUAAGCUUGGGAAACUGGGUCUAAUACCGGAUAGGACAGCUGUUUAGUGUCAGUUGUGGAAAGUUUUUUCGGUGCAAGAUGAGCUCGCGGCCUAUCAGCUUGUUGGUGGGGUAAUGGCCUACCAAGGCGUCGACGGGUAGCCGGCCUGAGAGGGUGUACGGCCACAUUGGGACUGAGAUACGGCCCAGACUCCUACGGGAGGCAGCAGUGGGGAAUAUUGCACAAUGGGCGGAAGCCUGAUGCAGCGACGCCGCGUGGGGGAUGAAGGCCUUCGGGUUGUAAACUCCUUUCGACAGGGACGAAGCGUAAGUGACGGUACCUGUAUAAGAAGCACCGGCUAACUACGUGCCAGCAGCCGCGGUAAUACGUAGGGUGCGAGCGUUGUCCGGAAUUACUGGGCGUAAAGAGCUCGUAGGUGGUUUGUCGCGUCGUCUGUGAAAUUCCGGGGCUUAACUCCGGGCGUGCAGGCGAUACGGGCUGACUUGAGUGCUGUAGGGGAGACUGGAAUUCCUGGUGUAGCGGUGAAAUGCGCAGAUAUCAGGAGGAACACCGAUGGCGAAGGCAGGUCUCUGGGCAGUAACUGACGCUGAGGAGCGAAAGCAUGGGUAGCGAACAGGAUUAGAUACCCUGGUAGUCCAUGCCGUAAACGGUGGGCGCUAGGUGUAGGGGGCUUCCACGUCUUCUGUGCCGUAGCUAACGCAUUAAGCGCCCCGCCUGGGG
rnacentral:rRNA from 1 species